rfam:Sphaerobolus stellatus SS14 unplaced genomic scaffold SPHSTscaffold_51, whole genome shotgun sequence.
GGGCUAUUAACUUAGUUGGUUGAGCGUGGUACUAAUAAUGCCAGGGUGACAGGUUUGACCCCUGUAUGGACCA